rnacentral:rRNA from 1 species
GCAAGUCGAGCGGUAAGGCCCUUCGGGUACACGAGCGGCGAACGGGUGAGUAACACGUGGGUGAUCUGCCUUGCACUCUGGGAUAAGCCUGGGAAACUGGGUCUAAUACCGGAUAUGACCAUUGGUUGCAUGAUCGGUGGUGGAAAGAUUUAUCGGUGCGAGAUGNGCCCGCGGCCUAUCAGCUUGUUGGUGGGGUAAUGGCCUACCAAGGCGACGACGGGUAGCCGGCCUGAGAGGGCGACCGGCCACACUGGGACUGAGACACGGCCCAGACUCCUACGGGAGGCAGCAGUGGGGAAUAUUGCACAAUGGGCGGAAGCCUGAUGCAGCGACGCCGCGUGAGGGAUGACGGCCUUCGGGUUGUAAACCUCUUUCGACAGGGACGAAGCGCAAGUGACGGUACCUGUAGAAGAAGCACCGGCCAACUACGUGCCAGCAGCCGCGGUAAUACGUAGGGUGCGAGCGUUGUCCGGAAUUACUGGGCGUAAAGAGCUUGUAGGCGGUUCGUCGCGUCGAUCGUGAAAACAUACAGCUCAACUGUGUGCUUGCGGUCGAUACGGGCGGACUAGAGUACUGCAGGGGAGACUGGAAUUCCUGGUGUAGCGGUGAAAUGCGACGAUAUCAGGAGGAACACCGGUGGCGAAGGCGGGUCUCUGGGCAGUAACUGACGCUGAGAAGCGAAAGCGUGGGUAGCGAACAGGAUUAGAUACCCUGGUAGUCCACGCCGUAAACGGUGGGCGCUAGGUGUGGGUUUCCUUCCACGGGAUCCGUGCCGUAGCUAACGCAUUAAGCGNCCCGCCUGGGGAGUACGGCCGCAAGGCUAAAACUCAAAGGAAUUGACGGGGGCCNGCACAAGCGGCGGAGCAUGUGGAUUAAUUCGAUGCAACGCGAAGAACCUUACCUGGGUUUGACAUACACCAGAAAGCCGUAGAGAUACGGCCCCCCUUGUGGUUGGUGUACAGGUGGUGCAUGGCUGUCGUCAGCUCGUGUCGUGAGAUGUUGGGUUAAGUCCCGCAACGAGCGCAACCCUUAUCUUAUGUUGCCAGCGCGUUAUGGCGGGGACUCGUGAGAGACUGCCGGGGUCAACUCGGAGGAAGGUGGGGACGACGUCAAGUCAUCAUGCCCCUUAUGUCCAGGGCUUCACACAUGCUACAAUGGCCGGUACAGAGGGCUGCGAUACCGUGAGGUGGAGCGAAUCCCUUAAAGCCGGUCUCAGUUCGGAUCGGGGUCUGCAACUCGACCCCGUGAAGUUGGAGUCGCUAGUAAUCGCAGAUCAGCAACGCUGCGGUGAAUACGUUCCCGGGCCUUGUACACACCGCCCGUCACGUCAUGAAAGUCGGUAACACCCGAAGCCGGUGGCCUAACCC